UUGGAGGGCAAGUCUGGUGCCAGCAGCCGCGGUAAUUCCAGCUCCAAUAGCGUAUAUUAAAGUUGUUGCAGUUAAAAAGCUCGUAGUUGAAUUUCGGGAUCAAUAUAUUGGUCGUGCCUCCGGUAUGCACUGGUAUUAUUGAUUUCUACCUUCUGACGAACUGUGAUGUCAUUAAUUUGGUGUCAUAGGGAAUCAGGACUGUUACUUUGAAAAAAUUAGAGUGUUUAAAGCAGGCACACGCUUGAAUACAUUAGCAUGGAAUAAUGAAAUAGGACGUUUGGCCCUAUUUUGUUGGUUUCUAGGAUCGACGUAAUGAUUAAUAGGGAUAGUUGGGGGCAUUAGUAUUCAAUUGUCAGAGGUGAAAUUCUUGGAUUUAUUGAAGACUAACUACUGCGAAAGCAUUUGCCAAGGAUGUUUCCAUUAAUCAAGAACGAAAGUUAGGGGAUCGAAGACGAUCAGAUACCGUCGUAGUCUUAACCGUAAACUAUGCCGACUAGGGAUCGGAUGAUGUUAAUUUUUUAAUGACUCAUUCGGCGCCUUACGGGAAAC
rnacentral:rRNA from 1 species